rnacentral:rRNA from 1 species
GACGAACCAUGCGAACGUUGUUCGGAUUCACUGGGCUUAAAGGGCGCGUAGGCGGGCGAUCAAGUCAGGGGUGAAAUCUUUCGGCUCAACCGGAAAAGGGCCUUUGAUACUGGUCGCCUCGAGGAGGUAGGGGCAUGCGGAACUUCCGGUGGAGCGGUGAAAUGCGUAGAUAUCGGAAGGAACGCCGGUGGCGAAAGCGGCGUGCUGGACCUCUUCUGACGCUGAGGCGCGAAAGCCAGGGGAGCGAAC